ensembl:lncRNA
GGUUGUUGUCACUAUGACUUACGCUACAACUUGUUAGUCAUACAGUCAGUUGGGCUCAGAUACUAGAAAACUGUCCAAUCACAGUCCUCCCCUAUAAUCCACAACCACGGAAUUGAAUCACAUCACUCAGUCGGCUGGUUGCUGCUGAUUGCAUGUGCCCCUUCAAGCAUCAUCCAGGCAGCUCAUCCAAUGGUGAAUUUGUAAUAACUAUAAAGAGCUCCUGGUCUGUAGAUUAAUGUUAUGUUACGUAUCCACUCUAACCACAGGUAACGUAAUGUUACGUAAAUGUGUGUAUCCACUCUAACCACAGGUAACGUAAUGUUACGUAAAUGUGUGUAUCCACUCUAACCACAGGUAACGUAAUGUUACGUAAAUGUGUGUGUCCACUCUAACCACAGGUAACGUAAUGUUACGUAAAUGUGUGUAUCCACUCUAACCACAGGUUACGUAAAUGUGUGUAUCCACUCUAACCACAGGUAUUGUAGUGUACAUUGCAUGUAGGGUUAAGACCUCUAUUUGGCCUGCUGGCUGGGUAAUCCUAUGGAUGUUAGUG